ensembl:lncRNA
GAAAAAAAAAACGAAGGGUUAUAAAAAUUUCAUUAGACAAUCCCUUGCUGAAGUGACUUUCUGUGUCGCUUUCCGUUUUUGUUUUUUCAGCUCCCCUCCCUUCUCGCUUCUCCAGAGCGCCGCCUCACUCAGAGAAUGGGGCAGACAGACUUUAUAGGUCCUAAUUAAAGCCAUCUGAAGCCUUUCAAAACAUCAAAUGGCACCGGCCGCCACUCGUUCCCUCUGAUUGAGGGCAAAAUCAGCAAAAUCAGAGGUCACAGGUUGCUUCAGCUCCAAAAUGUACGAACAUUUCACUCCCCCCUUUUUCCUCCUCUGACCCCUCUGUCGGCCGAUUUCCAAUCAAUAAAAGGAUUAGACGAAAGACACGACCACAAUCGAUUGUCUGUCAAAUUCACUGCAAUUUAACAUGUUUGGAAAAGCAUUUACCAAAAACACAUUUUUUAUUUUUUUUGGGGGGGUAUCUGAAAGCAUUGAACAAUGUGGCAGCAUGAGGGAUGUCACAAAUGGUAUUGAAGAUCCACCCUCAUCUCAGCCUGGUCGGGUUGGAUUGAAGUGCAGCCCUGUUUUUAGUGCGUUUCAAGUACCCAUUCCCCCCCCCCCCCCUCUCCCCCAGCCAGCCCUCCUACCCCCUCCUAAUUGUGCUCGUUGAGCCGUGUGGACCGGUAGAGCUGCCUGACUGGGGUCAACGGGUUUGCAGUGUGCUUUUUUUCUCUUUUUUUUUAAAUCUAUAUUUCAUGGUAUGGCGCUGCGCGCGCAGACGCACACGCGGAGGUCGUUUCACUGAGGCGCGCGAGGAAUGUCGACCGGACCAAAUGAAAGUCCGGUCAUGAACUGCGCGAAGUCAAAUUUUGUGAAACGACGAAAGACUAUGAACGUGUGUUUAUAGUCGUGUGUUUAGUUCACAUUUGAAUGAAGGCUUUUGUAGAGAAAGAAAGGAAAAAAAAGGACACGAAGCCCUCGGAAAGUCAUACACGCAGUCAUGCAUGUAAAACUGAAGUCAACUAAAAUAGGACUAGAUGUGUAGAACUUAUACUUAACGGGAACAAUACGUGAUCUAUUAAAGGAGAUACAAGAAAAUACCAAAAUCGUGCUACUUACGAUUCAUUUCUAUAACUUCGGGGCGUCAUUGUCUCGGAUCUGCGGCUCUUCGGUCAUUGGGGCGCGGAGGAGAAAAAAAAAAAAGUCUGUCCCUCCGGCGGAAGUGGACCGAUUGCCGAGGACGGGAUGCGCCGCUUCACGGGACGACAGCUCACGUUCGCGUUUAGAAGGACACCUUCGUUCGUUGUGGCGAGCGCGGGCGGACGUCCGACUCCGCCGGUGUCAAGUCUUCAGUGAUGCUCGGCACUCGCCGGGAUCGAGAGCUGAGAGGAGAGCGAGCGCAACAGAAAGGCGUCACGUGAGCGGUGGAGAGGUGCGCUAUUGGCCAAUCGGGCAGGAGGAUAAUGAGGCUGCCGUGACGCCAUUGGCCUAGAGUGGGAGGGCGGGCGCCUCCUCACUUGCCCGUGCGCAAGAAUGUGAGUGCGGCUCACUGUGCAUAAUUUUAAUAGCCCGAGGUGAUGAGGGGGGGGUAACAAAUUGUUCCAAAGAUCUUCUUUUUUUUGUGUGACAUCUACGAGUUACACAGAGGGCAGCGUUGGGGGGAAUGCACGCAUUCUGUCUCUUUAAUCAAGAGGAAUGAAUGGAAAUGUCUGGUGGGUCUACAUUACCGUCAACUUGGAAGAUCAUUCUAAAUGAAGCAUCAUGUGAGCUGAAAGUUUUUGGCAUUAUGAUGACAAGAAAUAAGAUGACAACAGCAAAAAAGAAAGUAACAUGUAACACAAUACAGCGUAGGAACAGUAACUGUGUCCAUCAAGGGGGCGGUUUGAUAAUACAACCAUGUCAUUCAGUUGACCUUCAUCCUUAAUGCAAUUCAUAUUGAAGACUUUUUUUCUGUAAUUUUGUAUUCAACCAAUAACACGGUUUUACGCCGCUAAUACAGGUGGAAAAUUGUACUUAUUAAAGCAACAAUCAUGGCUCAAAUAUAAGGAAUAACGCCAUUUUUAACAGCUUACGACAAAAAAUAAGUGGAAAUACAGAAGAAAGAAGUUAAUGCUCUACAAAACAAUGACACUAAUGCAUUCACCUUCUAUUUUCUGAAAUGCUUUUAUUUUACCUAUCCCUGGUGCCUCACAGUUAUUGGUGCUAACCUUUACAAUUAAUUCUGACCCGUUCCAAAGCUAAUUCAUUGUUUGGAAGAAGAGCUGUAGUUAAACCAACUAAGGUAUUGUGUUAGGAUCUAAGAUUCCUUAAUUGGAGGGUGCUUGGUAUGUUGUAUAUAUUCAUGUUGUUCUAUCAUAUUUAUUUGUUGAUUUUCUGCAAACACACAUACGAAAAUACUCCCCUCUCUGGUUCUGCAGAGUGUGCAGGCAGAGGGACUCAAGGUUCUGUAUGGGUGGGAAAUAGAGCGCAUGUAAUCUAGUGCGCGCAUCUUCCUCGGCUCCGGCUGCGGCAUUAAAUCAAUAUUCCGCAAAGCUUUCUCUUGUUUUCCACAUUCACUUGACUGCUGCCGUGAUGCGCCGCGAGGGUCGAGCAGCCGCUCCCUGAUUUUUGUGGCACUUGCCCCCCUUCCCUCUUCGUCGGCGUUGUCCUCCUCCUCCUCCUCCUCCUCCUUCACUUCACUUCACGGCAGACGCCCUCAUUUGGAUGGCUCCAAGGCGAUGCGCCUAUUCCAUUUGUCUCAUGCGUUAACAGGAGGCGGCAGGAAUAAGGCACCGCGUUAUCUCGACACAAAACAUUAUCUCCGCCCGGCCUCCAACACCGUGAAACAAUGAUUAUUAACUGCUUGAGGAGCAUGUUCGGGGGGUUUUGAAGCCUCUUGCUACACUUGAGGAACAUGAAAUAUAUUUCACAGCACACCCCGUGUUUUGAAUUUUUGACUCAAGAUCAUGAUUCCUCUUUUCUUGCCCUUUUGUGAGUACUUUCAGGAUGGCCUGUCUCCCUGGGGGAGUAUGGCUAACAGCAUUAUGGCUGGGGCGUAGUGUCACGGUAGCAUCUUCUUUUUUUACCAAGAAACAACCUGAGACUUCCUUUUCAAGAUUUAAAAGCCUGCCGUGUGGCAUCAUCCCGUAAGAUACUGGUUGUGCAUUCGUGUUCACUCACACCCCAUCCCUGUGAAAGCAAAAUCCUGCCUCUGCAAAAUGGGUCACACACUGCAGUCACUUUAUCUCAGCAAAUGUAUUGUGCCUGCGUGAGUGUGUGAGUUGAAGACAUGCGCAUAUGUGAUUAAACAUCAAAGGCAAGACUCGAGUAUUAGCCCAUUGGUGUCUUCGCUGAAACAGGACUAAAGCAAGUCGAACGUUCUAUAUUUUGGUGGGGGUGGUAAGCCUGUGUGAAUAGUUGGCCCUAACGAGACAAAAUGUGAGUCUUUCUUUGAUGCAUAUUAACAGCCAAGAGGAAGAGGCUCUCACUCUAAAAUGAACUCCGGUAGCGUCAUUUUUAUUCCAACUGCAGUGCCCUGCACGCCUCAUACGUCAGCGAUUUCUGCAAGCAGUUGAACGCAUAGGCUUUUGCUCCGAACCCACAACAUCCAUCCGCCCCUUAGGUUGUGAGCUAAUAGGUAGAAACAGACAAACACACUCGCAUUUAUCCUCCGUGGAGUGAAUUUGAGCAGCUGGGUUCAAAGCCAUGUCAGUCAAAAAAGGGAAGACAGGCCUGUGCCGAUGUCUUAUGGACCCAUCACUGUGCAAGAUAAUCUGCGGCGCGUUCCGGCUCUAUAUUUAGACCAAUGUUUUGUGAACACUUAGCAUAAUUCGCUGAGACGAAAGGGGCUUUUCGGAGCUGUUAACCUCAUCUCUUUAAAACUCAUUUGGAGUUUUUCAGCUGCGCAUUCCAAAAACACCUGUUCUUGCUUAGUCCUGUGAAAUACACUGCAUUGCAACGGGGAAAUAGUUUGUUAUGAAUGGAAAGAAGGGCGCAGCGUGAAUGUGGGAGCGUGCUGUGGAUGGUCGGCUGAUAAGAGAGAUUUAGCUUUAUCUGAAAUCAAUCAAAAAUGGCCUCCAUUGUCGUCAUUACGCUCAUCACCGUAUGAAGUCAAAGAAAGAAAAUAUUCCUGGAAUAACACCACACCUGGUAAUACCAAUUGAUUACUACCCAGGGAGUACAGACGGCUUAAGUCCACGUGUAAAUGCUCCGAGUGCUCUGAUCUGGUGGAGGUGGGCCAGAGGGAGUUGGUCGGACUGAAAGCCUUUACCUCCAUCUGCUGCACAAACACCCACAUUUGGUCAAAAACACACAGGCAAGAUGGACUGUGUGGUUUGAAAAGCAUGUCCCUUUAGCAUUAAACGCUAUACGCUUUGGCCACAGUAGCACGCCACACUGGGGGCCUGCGUGGCAUCUGCCUCCCAGGUCCUGGAGCCAAGGCGCGGGGCCGAGGGAGGGGCCUGGGGCUGAGAUAAGCACUUCCUCCCCUGGUCACUGCCCGCCGUGGGGACCGGACAGGCCUGGAGCCUCAGCUGAGCACCGCUGAUAAUAUCCACAUGAGUGUACAUGUGUGUGUGUGUGUGUGUGUGUGUGUGUGUGUGUGGUUGGUUGGAUGCAGGGGCAUGUUGAGAGGAAAAGCCUUGUUUUAGAGGAUGUGUGUGUGUGUGUGUGUGUGGGGGGGUGGAUUGAAUGAGAUCUCGCAGGGAUGCGCACACUUGCAUGUUUCGUGCAAAUAGUCAAAAAUCUGAGUUAACACUAAAAAAAAUUCUGUCUCUGAAGUAUUUACGGUUUAGCACUUUUGAUGCCAAAUGUUCAGAGAAGCGUGUACGGAUACGUGUGCUCAUGAGAAAUGC